rnacentral:lncRNA from 1 species
UUUUUUUAUCGGUAAAUAAAUUUGUAUUGAUCAAAAUUGGGUAAAAUUACUCCGGGCAUACAAAGUAAAUCAUUACAAAGAUCUAAUGAUCUAGUGAUCCAAACCAAGUGACGGAAUAUAAUUCAAAAUAUUACAAACUUGGUUAAUAUAUCAAAAUCCUCUUUAGAGAACAACCGUAAGUAGCCAUUAACUUUCAAACAAGCAGGCUGCUGGAAAUCAAUGCAAGUAUCUGGACGAGACAAAUGCUGCCAUGAACCUUUGAUUGCAUUCAUGCAAAGUGGAUAGGCUUCAAUGAAACGUCAUUUUCUGUUGUAUAAUUCAAACAGCUGGAAGGCAGGCUGCUUGAAUUAAAAAUCUGUAGGGACCGAUGAUGCAGGCAAAUCUUAAAUGGCAGAAAGAAAGCAGCUGGACGGCAAGCUGCUUGCUGGCAAAGAUCUGUUGCACAUGGGACUGAAUCACUGCCUAACCAGGCUAGUGCUUAAAUUUUGGUCAAAAAGUUCAAAUUUUUUUGAAAUUUAUGCCAAAAAAGGAAACAUAUAACUGCAGAAACAGUCAACAUUACAAAAAUAUUGCAGGAGAUUUGUCUGGUAAACAAUUGAAAUUGAUAAGCCAGAAACAUUAAUUUUAAAUUUGGGAAACAAAAUGGGGGAAACGUUCCCAAGAAUGAAAACCGAAUCUAUGAGCAAGAACUUGAAUCUCCAAGAGUUCUCACCUUGAAUCUUCAAGAGGACAUAAAAACUACAUUUGGACGGUUUCAAAAGACCAAGAGUUAAACUAUAACCCAAGGAAUCAUAAAAAAUC